rnacentral:rRNA from 1 species
AACUGAGACACGGUCCAGACUCCUACGGGAGGCAGCAGUGGGGAAUUUUGGACAAUGGGCGCAAGCCUGAUCCAGCCAUGCCGCGUGAGUGAAGAAGGCCUUCGGGUUGUAAAGCUCUUUCAGCCGGGAAGAAAACGCAUGGGUUAAUACCCUGUGUGGAUGACGGUACCGGAAUAAGAAGCACCGGCUAACUACGUGCCAGCAGCCGCGGUAAUACGUAGGGUGCGAGCGUUAAUCGGAAUUACUGGGCGUAAAGCGUGCGCAGGCGGUUUGUUAAGAUAGGCGUGAAAUCCCCGGGCUCAACCUGGGAACUGCGUUUAUGACUGGCAGGCUAGAGUAUGGCAGAGGGGGGUGGAAUUCCACGUGUAGCAGUGAAAUGCGUAGAGAUGUGGAGGAACACCGAUGGCGAAGGCAGCCCCCUGGGCCAAUACUGACGCUCAUGCACGAAAGCGUGGGUAGCAAACAGGAUUAGAUACCCUGGUAGUCCACGCCCUAAACGAUGUCAACUAGGUGUUGG